rnacentral:snoRNA from 1 species
UGUCACCAUCAGAAACUACAUCCUUUUAUAUGUGUGCAGUGUUAUUUUUUAUGUGCUACAAAUACUUGAAAGUUACUUAGCAGUAUAACCAUAAAUAAUAAUGCUGCCAGUCUCCUUCAGACAAAA